UAGACGUGGACAUGAGCUCACGAACAGAAUCGUAGUUUCUACAUCACUCCCAAGAACAGAAUCGUAGUUUCUACGUCACCCUUUCUCCGCGGAGGGAGAGAAGAGAAAAACGAGCCAAAAACGAGGCUUUCCAAUUCCUAAGGUCUCUAACCCUAAUUCCUAUCCAUUCCCCCCAAUUUUAGCAUCUCCGUUCCCUCAGUUCUUCGAUUUUAUCCGUAAAUCGUCAAAUUCUUUGAAUAUUAUUGCAUUUCUCCAACUUUUUGGAGGAAGAAACUCGAUUAUCUUUUUUGCAUAAAGAUUCUAUUUUUUCCAUUUUUUUACCUUUAUAUGUUCCCAAGAUCCGUCCGGGAUCGACGACGGCGGCGGCGCCAGAGGCGGUGCUGCUGACGUCGGGGGUCAGCGGGCGGGUGAACGCCGUCCUCUCCCUCCGCGUCCUCCGGCGCCUCCUAUUCCUCCUCCCCGCUUUCCUCCUCUUCAUCCUCCGGUGGCAGCCGAGGUCGCCGCCAUGCCUGGGCCCUGCGGCAGGGGCUCACCGACGGGAGGAAAGUAGGAAGGGCGGGGCGGGAGCGGUGGUGGUAAGGGUGCCGGCAGCGAUGGUGCCGCGGAGGCAGAGGGAGCAGGAGGCGGCGGCGAGGCGCGCGGCCGCGGUCCGGGGGGUGGUGGCGGCGAGGGAGGAGGGGAGGACAGAGAGAGAGAGGGAUUUCUCAUUGUUUGCUCUUCACCCAGUCGUGGACUCCUGUCACCGUCAAGACCAAGGUUCCUUUUUAUUUAUACCUUACCUGAUUUUGGCCAGGGGCCUGCUUGUUCUUAUGCAUGAUCUGAACGAACAAUGUGGCAGAUAUGAUCAUUUUGCAAAGAAGCUGAAUGAUGAUGGUCUUAAAGUGUAUGCCAUGGAUUGGAUUGAGGCACUGGAUUCGUAGAAUCUGUCGGAUGGGACAAGAAGUGAGAUCGAUCUGGAGUCAGACUACCAGAUAGUUAGAAUUAAACUACCUGCAAAUGAGUAGUUAGCAGUGGUGCUGUAAAGGGCAUUGGAGAUUAAACAUUUCUUUGUUCAAAAACCAUGGCCCAGCAAGCAAGGACAUAGAAGCAACCAACUAUCCGUGUCACAUCAAUCUGGUGGCAAGCAAGAGAAGACAUGCAUUGAGAAGUUUGUGAAUAAUUCAGCCCACAGAUUGAACUUAUUAAGCUACAAUUUUUAUUCUCUGUCAUUUCAGCAAGGUACAGUUUUCAAAUAAUUUUCCCCGAGUUGCUUAACUGUGACUAGGUUCAUGUUUUUGUUUGUAGUUUGAGACUUCUAUUAUAUCAUUACCAUGGCAUGGUUAGAUCCAAUAAUAACGUCAAUUACACCCGGACUACUUAAAAUUAAUGCAAAUUUGACGGAAGGCAUCAUAUCCAGAAAGAAAAUAAUUUUCAAAAUAUGUUGAAAAAUAAUGCAAAUCACUUAGGAUGGUUUAUGCUGUUUCUCAGGGGGUAUUGGUGCUGAUUUAUAUUUUGCAUAUAAUUUCAAACAAUGAUAGGCCAUUUUAAAUUGUUAAGAUCAACAUACUAGAAUCUAGUCUUGUAAUGAUUCCUCCAUGCUAGGUUGGGUUUUGGAUAAGUUUGUUUGCAGGCUGUAUUUAAUUUGGUAUAAGAGAUAAAGUUGUUAUUCUGGUACAAGAAAAUCUGGAACAUGGAGCAAGAGAACAUAAUGGACAAGCCUUCAAUUCUUAUUUCUUCUUGAACUUGACUGUGUUUGAUUCCCUAUUUAUAGGCCUCAUAAGAAGAUUUACAUGAUCUAUUUCACAAAAUCUUGGAAUAAUUAAUUGAAACUUAUGUUUAGGACAUAGCCCUACAUUUUCAUGAUAAAUUAUAAGAUCUUGUUAACUAUUUUGUGGGUCGUAAUAUGUGCAUGGAACGAAGUUUUCUUCACAUAACUCAGGUGAGGAUUUCACUUGACAUAUAAAGAGGCACAGAGGUGAACGCCCAAUCUCAACACUGUGCCAUGGGCUAUCUUAAAUUGUUUUGUACUUUCUUUUUUUUCAUGAACAAAAUUUCUUUGUACUUUUCUUUUAUUUAAAUUGGUUAAUAUUCACUUUUUCUCUUUCAUCUAAAUUAAUUAAUAUAGUUCCAUUGAAUAUUUUUCCAUCAUGGCCUUCUUAUAAAUAAUGUUGAUGACGAUCAUAAAGAAAAUGAAUUGAAUUGUGUGAUUGUGUGACCCGAAACAGAUGGGAAGUUUUGUCAACUAUUGUGUGAUUAAGAAUCUCAUUCAAUUGUCUCUCAAAUGUAGUUGCCAAGGGAACAAUUGACCCAUGAUGUGAUAUCCAAAGUUUAAUAUCCUUCUCUUUUGAAUGUUAGCUAACAACCCUACGUUUAGUGGCCUCUUUUUUAAGUUCAGAGCCCCUCUUUAUCAUAAUUUACAUGAAAUCAUUUAAAAUUAUAUGAACUCAAGAGCCUAAAUUUAUAAAUUAUAACCUUCAAUAAAGAAUCAUCAGUUAAUAAAAUAAUCACAAGUGGCCUACCUUGUGACCUAUAAAAUUAUCAAUUAUUACGUCCGGCAUUGUCACUCCAUGUUGUGGGGUUCAACCAACUUUAUCUCUGUCCUAUCUGCUAGUAGUAAUAAGGGAGGUGCUUGAAAGCGAAGCACUAAAUUUAGUGUUUGAGCCACACUGAAAAACUAUACUAAAGUUCACCAAGCUUUGGUUAUUGCAUGGCAUGUCUUGUUCUCAAACAAUUAUUUUAUCUAUUGAUGAAGAUGAGUAAUUUUGGCAGGCCAAUAGAUACAAUCCUAAUGAAUAACAGCAUCAGCAUGUACUACUGCCAUUGCCACGUACUACAUAUUAGACCACCUAUGGUGCAAUAAUUCUGACUUCUGGUGUUCAAUAUGCAUUUCAUGCCACAAGAAUAAUAGUAACAUGUUAAGUUAAUGAAAUUUGUAAGAUUUGCUCAAACCUCGCAUUUCAUCAUCAUUUUCAUUCAUUUCUUAUAACAAUUGUGGUUAUUAGUUACAUUGUAAUUAGUAUUUUUCAUUUCGCAUCAUAAAUUCAGAUGAACGCGAUAUACCAAGACAACAGACUCUGUUAGCUAUAUAUACUGAGUAUUACAGAAGGGAAUCAGUUGCCAGGCUCCUACCACUGAACAGAGUAGUGCAAAUCCAAUACACACUUCUCUCGUGGUGCAAACCCAAUACCUAAUCUGGUCAUUGUUUACUGGCCUUUCCAAGAUUCUUACAUGCCAUAUGCUUGAAAGAUGAUAAGAAGCCAAAAGCAAGUUAGUUAUGUUUUGUUAUUAUAGAAAACUACAACUUAUGAAAUGCAUGGAUUAUUUUUUUCAUCUCCUUCACAUCACAGCUCAAUGAAUGCUUCCCCAGUUGUGUUGGCUCAGAGUUUUAAAAAACUUAUCAGGCAGCUCAAAAAAAAUUCCAACUUGUCCUAUAAAUGAAUUUCCUUAGUGUCUUCUUCUCUCUCUCUUUUUUUAUGUAUUUAUAGCUGGGAGGGUCAAUAUCCCUUGAACAGUUUGAAUGCGUAAGGUUACACUCUGACUUCUCUAACUCUAACAACGCAUUGUCCUGCCUAUCUAGUUAUAAGAGAAGAUUAGAUUACAGGUGAUCAUUUUAGAUCAUGAGAAGUGCCGACAAUCUCCCUAGUCCCAAGUAAAUGUUGAUUAGAUGGCUUGAUCAAAACUGGCUGAUCGAUCUGUUAUAUUAUAAUUGGUAACACAAGAAACGGAGGAGUGAUUUCACCUGAUAAGAAGAGCCCAAUGAGUGAUGAUUAUUACAUCAAAAUAGUUUAAAUCAGUAUUCCAUAGUGGGAUUCAAUAAAAUAGAGCAUGCCAAAGCAGUUUCAACCACGAAUUAAGUACCUCGAUUUUGACAGGUGCUCAAAUAGUGUUGAAUGUUCAUUUCUCUUUUGACUGAAUGGGAAACAAUUGCCAUCCGGAUUGUCUUAUUGAUGGGAGAAGUUAUGUUGGAUGUUCGUUUCAUAAGCCAUUUCACUCCAAAUUAAGAGCAUUUUUUUUCUAUAUAUCAGAAAGCUUUGUAUAUAACCUGAUUUGGAUAGAAUGUGAACUAUAAAUGCAUUAGUUAAAAAGGAGCACCUCAGCGCUCCGUAUGAUUUCCACGAAUUGAUGGAACCGCAUACGAUGUCUCAAUUCCUUAGAAGGUACAGUAUGAAACUUUAAUCCUUAAAAUACUCAGUUUUGGUGUAUUUUGCCUCUGAAAAAUGAACUCUCUUCCCUUUUUUUGGAGGAAAUACAAAAUGUAUUACUAUAAAAUGAACUAUCAUGUAAUAAAAUUUAUUACCCAAUGGUUAGCAGUUUCUAGUGGGAUUGGAUCAGAGCCUUUAUCCACAUUGUCACUAACAACUUGUUAUUAAACUAAAACUUAAAGAACACUCUUACUUAUGCAUAAAAUAAAUAGAGAGGAUCCAUUAUCAGUCCUUUUUUUAGGAAUAUUCAAUUAUUAGAUGUUUGAACUCAAAAGAAGCAGCAGCAUAGUCUUUUCUUAGCAACAUUAUUAGAUCAGAAGGAAAGUUAAUGAACAACUAUUUUUAUGAAAAAAUUGAAGAACAUGACCAUAUUGGCUCGAAGAUCUGCAACUUGUUAUUAAACUAUAA